rnacentral:rRNA from 1 species
AUUUGGGCACUGUCUCAACGAGAGACUCGGUGAAAUCAUAGUACCUGUGAAGAUGCAGGUUACCCGCGACAGGACGGAAAGACCCCGUGGAGCUUUACUGUAGCCUGAUAUUGAAAUUCGGCACAGCUUGUACAGGAUAGGUAGGAGCCUUUGAAACGUGAGCGCUAGCUUACGUGGAGGCGCUGGUGGGAUACUACCCUAGCUGUGUUGGCUUUCUAACCCGCACCACUUAUCGUGGUGGGAGACAGUGUCAGGCGGGCAGUUUGACUGGGGCGGUCGCCUCCUAAAAGGUAACGGAGGCGCUCAAAGGUUCCCUCAGAAUGGUUGGAAAUCAUUCAUAGAGUGUAAAGGCAUAAGGGAGCUUGACUGCGAGACCUACAAGUCGAGCAGGGUCGAAAGACGGACUUAGUGAUCCGGUGGUUCCGCAUGGAAGGGCCAUCGCUCAACGGAUAAAAGCUACCCCGGGGAUAACAGGCUUAUCUCCCCCAAGAGUUCACAUCGACGGGGAGGUUUGGCACCUCGAUGUCGGCUCAUCGCAUCCUGGGGCUGUAGUCGGUCCCAAGGGUUGGGCUGUUCGCCCAUUAAAGCGGUACGCGAGCUGGGUUCAGAACGUCGUGAGACAGUUCGGUCCCUAUCCGUCGUGGGCGUAGGAAAUUUGAGAGGAGCUGUCCUUAGUACGAGAGGACCGGGAUGGACAUACCUCUGGUGUACCAGUUGUCGUGCCAACGGCAUAGCUGGGUAGCUAUGUGUGGACGGGAUAAGUGCUGAAAGCAUCUAAGCAUGAAGCCCCCCUCAAGAUGAGAUUUCCCAACUUCGGUUAUAAGAUCCCUCAAAGAUGAUGAGGUUAAUAGGUUCGAGGUGGAAGCAUGGUGACAUGUGGAGCUGACGAAUACUAAUCGAUCGAAGACUUAAUCAA